rnacentral:rRNA from 1 species
GAUGAACGCUGGCGGCGUGCCUAAUACAUGCAAGUCGAGCGAACGGACGAGAAGCUUGCUUCUCUGAUGUUAGCGGCGGACGGGUGAGUAACACGUGGAUAGCCUACCUAUAAGACUGGGAUAACUUCGGGAAACCGGAGCUAAUACCGGAUAAUAUUUUGAACCGCAUGGUUCAAAAGUGAAAGACGGUCUUGCUGUCACUUAUAGAUGGAUCCGCGCUGCAUUUGCUAGUUGGUAAGGUAACGGCUUACCAAGGCAACGAUGCAUAGCCGACCUGAGAGGGUGAUCGGCCACACUGGAACUGAGACACGGUCCAGACUCCUACGGGAGGCAGCAGUAGGGAAUCUUCCGCAAAGGGCGAAAGCCUGACGGAGCAACGCCGCGUGAGUGAUGAAGGUCUUCGGAUCGUAAAACUCUGUUAUUAGGGAAGAACAUAUGUGUAAGUAACUGUGCACAUCUUGACGGUACCUAAUCAGAAAGCCACGGCUAACUACGUG